rnacentral:lncRNA from 1 species
AAUUUAUUUCUACAUACUCCUCAUAUGAAUUAAUUUACCAGUAAUGGCCUUGCUAAAUUAACUCUUUGAUUCAAAUUAUAAUUUUGGAGAUUCAAAAAGAUAUUAAACAACAUCAUUUAUGAAUAAAAAUCUUUUUUCUUUUUCCUUUCCAAACUAUAUUUUAUUUCUUUUUAUUCUAUUAUUACACAGGAGUACAUUAGUAAAUGAAGGUAGUGAGAACAGAUAUCCUUACUUUGUUUUCAACCUAAGGGAAAUUUUCAGUGUUAAAACACUGAGUAUGCUAUCUGCAGGGCUUUUGUAGAUGACUUUUAUCAGGUUAAAAUUCUAUUCCCAGUUUGCUGUGAGUUUCUAAUAUAAACAUGUGUUGAGUUUUAUCAAAUGCUUUGCAUCUACUGAGAUAAAUGAGUUUUCUCUCCUGCUUUAUUCUGUUAUUAUGUUUUAUUACAUUGGUUGAUUUUUCUGAAUAUUAAGCCAACCUUUGAGUAAACAAACCCCACUUGGUCAUAAUGUAGUAUACUUUUUAUAUAUUGGUUUUUGAUUGACAGUCUGGCAAAUCUGGCCCUGAAAUAUGAGAUUCAGUUUUACCCUGAAGAGAUUUCAAAUAUAUCUUCUGAGACUCCAGCCCCAUGGAGUUUCGAAAUACAACAAUUAUUGAGUCUUCCACUCUGAUGGAACUUUUAUCCCCUAAGUCCUCCAAAACAAUGAAGAUUUCACUCUGAUUUUUAGGUUUGCAGCCUACCUCCCUAGCCUUCUCCUCUCUUCUAGAAUUCAGUAAAUGUCCUGUUGGAAAAAUUGGUCAUGUGUUUCAAUCCUUUUGAAACUGUAGAACUUAAGUUUUAAAAUUCAGGAAGGCAAGUUUCAACUGAGGAGGAGAAUAAAUUAUGUGGCAAGGAAUCAUUGUCUAUCAGACAAUGCAGAGCUAAUACUAAUCAAUGUCUAGCUUGUAAAAUGUGUAUCUUUAAGCCAGAGAGACUAAAAGAUGGACUGAAGGAUGCCCAUCCAGGUACUAGAUUAAUUUAAAUGCUAUUGUAUCUCUGGCACUUGGUUCUAAUCGUCUCCUCUUGAACACUCAAUACCUGCAUUCAUGCUGGCUGGCCCCAGGGACUCAGAACAGCCCACUGUCCCCAGUGAAAGGAAAUGAAAAAUCGACUGAUGCUAAACAGACCUCCUUCAGCAACUACAGCCAUCUAGAGCACUAUAUCCUGCAGUGUGAUUAAUGAUUUUUCUUUCCCCUUACAUUUAAAAGCAAUGUGUUUUAGAAAGGAAAGGGGAGAAAUGGAAUGAACAAGGGGGAUGAGGAAGAGAGAAAGCAGAGAUGCAAAAUUGAAAAAAAAAAAGAGAGAAAAAUAUAUGUGAGGAGGAGAGGAGAGGGAAGAAAAGAAUUUUUCAGUAUGAAACAGAACUAGCCAGAACUGUAUAUUUUCUCCUGAAACAAAAGAUUCCUCCUCUACAUAAGAAUGACACACUCUACUGAAAACAAUAAAAGGAAAGGAAAAUUUAGAGGCUCUAUAUCACCUUAAAAUACUUCUGUUUUUAGGUCCUCUAUUCCUGACCUCAGAAAGGAAUGAGGGCUUCAUUAUCACUCUCUUUAAUUGUAUGCUAAUGGGUUUACUUUAAGAAUUUAAAUGCAUUGGGAGGAGCAAGGAACCAACAGGAAAAUUUAAAUACAUUGGGAGAGAGAAGGAAUUGACGGGAUGUGUUGUUUGACACACUGAUAUUCUUUUUCUUUCUACUUCUUCCAGGCUUCCUAUUCCAUAUACACAUACACAUAAAUACACACAUAUAUAAAUAUAUAUUGCAUGAUAUAUGUUGCAUAUAUUAUAUACGAUAUGCUUAUAUCUAGCUAGCUAGCUGUGUUUAGACAGAGCUAUAGUAUGAGGGAUAUGAGAUUGUAAUAUGUGUCACCUCAUUUAUUGAUAUAGUUGAUUUUCCAGAUCUGAUUGCCUAGGCCAGUGUCUGUUUUCUCCUUCACUUCCCCAAAUGUGUUAAGUGGCUCUGUAACAUGGAAAAACUUCUGCCAGAGACUUCUACAUUAUGAAGGCUAGUCUUUUUUUGUCAACAGCCUCAGCCUAAAGAUAUAAAGCUAUUUCCCUUCUUCAUUUUCAGUACCUACUCUGGGCAUUCAUGUACUGGAUUUUCAACAGUCUCCCAUAAUGCUUUAGAUCUCUCAUUAAUAAGGACCCCAUGUACUGAGGUCUGAAGGGUAAGUCAUGGAUGACUACUGGAAGCAUUCUGCAGAGGAAUUUGAUAGAAAGAAAAAGGGAAGGUAUUUAGGGGUGUUAUAUGCAAUUAAGAUUUGAAACAGCCUGCAGUCAAGAAUCAAACACUUAUGCACAUGAGAGAACAAGCAAGUUUGCUUGGUUGGGGUAGAAAUUAUGGGUUAAUCAUAAAUAACAACAAGAAUGUUGAAGGAUGUUGACGGACAAUCUUAAAUACCAGUAUGAAGCAUUUGUAUUUGAUUAAAAAGAAAAAGACAACAGAAAACCAUGUAAAUUUCUGAGAGCUUAUCAACAGAUCAAAGAUGAGAUUCAUGUUUACCAGUCAAAGCACUGGGGUGUAACCUGAUCAAAAUGUUUGAGAAGGAAGAGUCUUUCUACUGUAUAAAGGGCAGACAGAAGGGGCAGGCAGCUGGCAAGAGGGAUGAUUUGUAAUAUUCUAGGUGUCAUAUGAUUAGAGAAGGCUCAGACUAGACUAUAGACUAGAAAGAGUUGGAAAGGAUGGCUCUGAAAGGUUUUUCAGAUUAAAAAAAAUAAGAGGACUUAAGAGACAUACUAGCCAUGGAGGUGAUGGAGGAAGUAACCUGUAACACUCCAGGUGGUAUGCCAGAAUAGGAUGGUAGAAUGCUAUUGAUGGGGAUGGAAUGUUGGGAAGGAAUGAGGGUCCUGUCUAGGCUGCAGUAUGAGUUUCCUUGCCACCUCUUUAUUAAUGCAGGUUUUAUGACACAGGUGUAAUAAUUAAUCCAAAUGGCUAGCAGAUGUGGCUAUCCAUCUUUGGGCAUACUGGCCUCCAAACAGUCUCCCAAUCAGCAAAUUCUCAAGCAAGGCCAAAGAAAAUUAAAGAAAAUAAAUUCUGUUGAGAUAUUUAUGGAGGCCACCUGGAUUGAAAUCUGAUGGCUAAGAACUUGCCUGGAUGCCAGGCAACUAAAGAAAGGUCAGAGCCCCUGGAGCAAUAGGGCUUGGUGAGCCAAAGAACAGAAAUGGAGAAGGGGGUGGGGCGUUCAGUCACAUUCCAUCUCAAAAAGAUUAAAAAUGGAGUUUUAGUUUUCAGAAAGAAACAAUGCUAAAGUCUUUCCCUGUAUGCUCUGGAAAAAGCUACCUGUCUCUUGACAAGGGUCCCACCAUUUCCUUAAUUGUACCCUCUGCUCUAGCUGAGCCAAUCAAUCAGUGAGGAUUUUGCUUACAUAUAUGGGUCACUUCCUCUUUAUUUCUUUCUUCUAUCACUUCUUUGAUUCAUGCUUUUAAAUUAUUACCUCCCAAUAGAGACAGCUUCUAACUACUCUCCUUGCCUUCACUCUCUUCCUGCUCAUCAUAGCAAUCAUUCUGAAUUACAACUUUGAUCAUGUGGUUGCCUGUUUUAAACUCUUAUCACUUCCUCUUUACCCACUGAAUAAAAUCUAAAUGCCUUUGCCUGCUAUUAAAGUCUCUACAUAAGUUGGAUUCAAUUUGUCUUUCUAGUCUCAUUGCAUACAACCAGUACCUCAUCAACAUAAGCCUUUUGCUUCAGAUAAACUUGUUAGUCUCCAUCCUUCAAAAUAAUUAUUGCCCCUCCUUUGCUAUUGACACACUGCUUAUAUGACUGAAAACUCUUCUUUUUUCUCUCCACCUGUUCAAAACCAUAAUCUCACACCUUAAGGGCCAACUCAUAGCCUACUUCCAUUCUGUCAGAAAACAUAUCUUAACAAAUUUAAAAGAAUAAGUCACAGGAAGAAUUCUUUGACAGUAAUACAAUUAAAUUAUAAACCAAUACAAAAAAAAUAACAGCAAAAUCUUCAACUACUUGAAUGUCAAACAACAUACUUCUAAGUAAUCCAUGAGUCAAGAAGGAAAUUUCAAAAGAAUAUUUAAAGUGUUGAACUUAACAAAAUUAAAAAUACAUCAUAUAGAAUUUUGUGGGAUACAGCUAAAGCAGCACUUAUAGGAAAAUGUCUAGCAUUAAAAACUUUAUAUUAGAAAACAAAAAAGACCUCAAACCAAACUAAGUUUCCACCUGAAGAAACUGAAAAAAAGGUAAAUUCAAAGAAAGGAGAAGAAAAAUAUAAAUAAAAUUGUAAACAGAAAAACAAAAGGAAAAAAAUCAAUGAACCCAGUCUGGUUCUUCAAAAAGAACAAUAAACCAACACACCUCUAGCAAAAAUAAGAACACGAGUUACCAAUAUCAUGAAUAAAAGAAGGGAUAUCAUCAUAUACUCCACAGACAUUAAAAAUCCUACAAAUUGGAGUUCCCGUCGUGGCGCAGUGGUUAACGAAUCCGACUAGGAACCAUGAGGUUGCGGGUUCGGUCCCUGCCCUUGCUCAGUGGGUUAAGGAUCUGGUGUUGCCGUGAGCUGUGGUGUAGGUUGCAGACGCGGCUCGGAUCCCGCGUUGCUGUGGCUCUGGUGUAGGCUGGUGGCUACAGCUCCGAUUCAACCCCUAGCCUGGGAACCUCCAUAUGCCACGGGAGCGGCCCAAGAAAUAGCAACAACAACAACAACAACAACAAAAAGACAAAAAAAAAAAAUCCUACAAAUUUACACAUAAAUUCAAAAUUAUAUUCAUAAGUUCAACAGCAUAGAGGAAAUAAACCAAUUCUUCAAAAACCACUACAUUUGUUUUCUGUUGCUGUGUAAUAAAUUACAGAAACCUAGCAGCAAAAAUCAAUGAAACUUAUUAUCUGGCUGGAUCCUCUGCUUGAGAUCUCAGAAAGCUGCAAUCAAAUUAUUUUGGGUUGGUCUCAGCCUAUUGAUGGUCAUGUUAUAAACUAGAAAUGCCUGAGGGUUCUCACCUGUUCCUGUACUACUUGUGAUGAGCCCUCACAGACAUUUCCCUUUUCAGAGUUCAUUUUGUAGCUGGACCAUCCUUUGAGGUUCUUAUAAUUGCAAGACACACCUUAGCAACAACCAUCAGGGAACUUUAAUAAACAAGAUUUAUUAUUCACAGGUCCUGAAGGAUACAUGGCAUACCUAGGGCCAGAGAGGUUAUGAAUAGAGAAAGAAAAACCUAGGGUUCUGUCUUCAUUAGGAUCUAAGGCAGGGUGCAUAGUUUCACAGGUUCACUGUUUAUUGGAGAAUUUAAAAUAUAAGAGCAGAAAUUAAAGUGUAGGAAGGGGAAAAUAAGGAGUCAGUCAAUUGGUCAGUUAUGUAAGGCAACCAGAGCUUUCUAAAAAGGAGAAAUUCAUGGGUGGGGUGGCCUGGCUCUUUAUCUAGUUAGGUAGCUGGCAAUGUAUUCAUUUGAGAUGAAUUUCUUUGAAGUGGCUGCCUCAACAAUCAAAGGCCCUUAAUUAUAAUCUAAAAAGCUAAUUAUCAGGUACUUACAUUACACAAAAUGUUAUUCACAUCUGGAUGCUUGAAUUUGAGGAAGAAUUUGCUUCCAUUUCCCUGCACAUUCAAGUUAUUGACAGAAUUUAUUUCCUUGCAGCUGCAUGACUGACAGUUCUGGUUCUUUGAUAACUGUUGGCUGGGGGCCAUUUUGGGGUCUGAGAUUCCCCUGCGAUUCCUAGAGGCUGCCUGCAGUUCCUUGCCACAUUGACUUCUCCAACAUGGACACUUACAUAAGUCAGCACUAAAGGAAAUUCUCUAGAAAAAGCCUACUACGAUGUAGUCAUAUAACAAUGUAAUCAUAGGAUUGAUAAUCCUUGCCACACAAGAUAACUUAAUUAUGCUAAUUAUGCACGUGAUAGCUCAUCACAUUUACUGUAUUCUAUUGUUUAGAUGCAAGACAGAGGUUCUGCCCAAACUUAAAGGAAGUGGAUUACAUAAAGGUGUGAAUACCAGGAGGCAAGCAGCACUGGGGCCACCUUGUAGUCUGUCUGACCCAACAAUUCUAAGGUACUAAAACUCAUUCAAGAUGAAAUAACCUAAACAGACCUCCAAAUAAUUUAAAAAUGGAAUUUGUAGUUUAAAAUCUUUUAGUAAAGAAAGCUCCAGGCCCAAAUGAUUUUAUUGUGGAACAUUAUGGAACACUGAUAUUAAACAUU